rnacentral:rRNA from 1 species
GACGAACGCUGGCGGCGUGCCUAAUACAUGCAAGUUGAGCGCUGAAGGUUGGUACUUGUACCAACUGGAUGAGCAGCGAACGGGUGAGUAACGCGUGGGGAAUCUGCCUUUGAGCGGGGGACAACAUUUGGAAACGAAUGCUAAUACCGCAUAAAAACUUUAAACACAAGUUUUAAGUUUGAAAGAUGCAAUUGCAUCACUCAAAGAUGAUCCCGCGUUGUAUUAGCUAGUUGGUGAGGUAAAGGCUCACCAAGGCGAUGAUACAUAGCCGACCUGAGAGGGUGAGCGGCCACAUUGGGACUGAGACCCGGCCCAAACUCCUACGGGAGGCAGCAGUAGGGAAUCUUCGGCAAUGGACGAAAGUCUGACCGAGCAACGCCGCGGGAGUGAAGAAGGUUUUCGGAUCGUAAAACUCUGUUGGUAGAGAAGAACGUUGGUGAGAGUGGAAAGCUCAUCAAGUGACGGUAACUACCCAGAAAGGGACGGCUAACUACGUG